UGGGGAAUAUUGCACAAUGGACGGAAGUCUGAUGCAGCAAUGCCGCGUGUGUGAAGAAGGCCUUAGGGUUGUAAAGCACUUUCAGACGUGAGGAAAAGUUAGCUAUUAAUACUAGUUAGCCCUGACGUUAACGUCAGAAGAAGGACCGGCUAACUCCGUGC
rnacentral:rRNA from 1 species